CUAGUACAUGCUACUUAUUAUCUUGAUUCUUAAAUGAUUAAAACAGCAGUGGCAAACCAACGUGAUUGAAUCGAGAAAAUUAUAAUCAUCAAGAUAAUUAGAAAUAUCAUUCAAUAAGAGAUCAGAGUGAUACACAAAAAUCUCAUAAAUGAGUUUUUGAAUUGAAGAGGGUAAAAAGAUAUAAUUUUCAAAGAAUAACAAUUGAG
rnacentral:misc_RNA from 1 species